AUUGAACGCUGGCGGCAGGCCUAACACAUGCAAGUCGGGCGGAUGAAGGGAGCUUGCUCCUGGAUUCAGCGGCGGACGGGUGAGUAAUGCCUAGGAAUCUGCCUGGUAGUGGGGGAUAACGUCCGGAAACGGGCGCUAAUACCGCAUACGUCCUGAGGGAGAAAGUGGGGGAUCUUCGGACCUCACGCUAUCAGAUGAGCCUAGGUCGGAUUAGCUAGUUGGUGGGGUAAAGGCCUACCAAGGCGACGAUCCGUAACUGGUCUGAGAGGAUGAUCAGUCACACUGGAAGUGAGACACGGUCCAGACUCCUACGGGAGGCAGCAGUGGGGAAUAUUAGACAAUGGGCGAAAGCAUGAUCCAGCCAUGCCGCGUGUGUGAAGAAGGUCUUCGGAUUGUAAAGCACUUUAAGUUGGGAGGAAGGGCAGUAAGUUAAUACCUUGCUGUUUUGACGUUACCAACAGAAUAAGCACCGGCUAACUUUGUG
rnacentral:rRNA from 1 species